rnacentral:rRNA from 1 species
UACGUAGGGGGCAAGCGUUGUCCGGAUUUAUUGGGCGUAAAGAGCGUGUAGGCGGCUUUGCAAGUCCGUUGUGAAAGUCCAGGGCUCAACCCUGGAAUGCCGGUGGAAACUGUCGAGCUAGAGUCCGGAAGAGGCGAGUGGAAUUCCUGGUGUAGCGGUGAAAUGCGCAGAUAUCGGGAAGAACACCCGUGGCGAAGGCGGUUCUCUGGGACGGUACUGACGCUGAGACGCGAAAGCGUGGGGAGCGAACAGG